rnacentral:miRNA from 1 species
GACAAGAAGAGAAGGAGAGGGAGAAGGAGGGAGGGAGGGAGAGAGAGAAAGAUAUUGAUUUAUAAUAAGAGUUUGUGUGUUUGCCUCCUUCUAUACAUUUUUUCUAUUUUUCUUCUCUCUCUUUCCCUUCUUCCUUUUCACUCAUUUUCCUACCAGCC